rnacentral:sRNA from 1 species
CGACUCGGGCAUCAGCGUCGUCACCAUUGUUGCUAUUGCGGUGCCAUUAGGUGUGGCCUUCGGCGCUUUCAUUGCAUUGAUCGUCUGCUGUUGUAAAGGGCUACUGUGUUUCAAAAGUCACGCCGUGCGGCCCGGUGUGGCCCAUGGGCCAUCAACAGUUUCAACCCACGUCAGUCAACAAGGGCAACAAAUGAGCCAGCCAGCUGCACCUCCGAUAUUUUCAACGUAUUCCUACGCAUCAGGUCAAAGUCAAGGCUACCCACUGCAAGCUUACAGCCAACAAAACACUUCAUUCCCAGGAACUAUUCCUCAGCCUUCAUACGCAUCGUACCCCCCUCCAACAUUUGAACAAGCCACCAACCAGCAAUUGAAGACCCAGCCAUAAGUGCACAAUGCAAGGGAUACGACGUGUCUCUUACUUUAGUUAUAUGUGGAGUCAUGGUGUACUAUUUAACCAAAAAUACAUUGUCCAUGCCUAAUGUUUAUUUCUCAUGAUUAAUUUGAUUGAGCUUUAACACAAGUAUAAAAAAAAUUUCUGUUAAAAGACCUAAGAACAAAAGCGGCAUUUAAAAACAUACUUUUAUUUUGUGUAAUGAAUCUUACGACAGUUUGUCUUUAAAACAAGUAUUAUAUUUUUUUAAGCAAUUCCUUUUCUAUGAAGCUGAUUGCCAUAUAAUAUAUCUCAUUAUAUUUAAUUCUUGUAAUGAUUCAUUAUCGAAGGAGUCUUUCCAGUAGGCUUUGCUCAAUCCAAUUCUUAUAUUAACAGCCCAGCUAUUGAUCUCUACACGUGACGGUGGGCAAAAUGAUCAUGCUACAUCGAUUUAUUCAUUCACCUCUUUUACAAAUACGAAGAAACACUUCAGUUUAGUGCGGGAAUUCCCGCUGAGGUCGUGAUUGCAAUAAACAGACGAAAGCCA